GGAGGGUGCAAGCGUUGUCCGGAUUUAUUGGGUUUAAAGGGUGCGUAGGCGGCCCGUUAAGUCAGUGGUGAAAGCCUCCMGCUCAACUGGAGAACUGCCAUUGAUACUGACGGGCUUGAGUACAGACGAGGUUGGCGGAAUUGAUUGUGUAGCGGUGAAAUGCAUAGAUACAAUCAAGAACUCCGAUUGCGUAGGCAGCUAACUAGGCUGUAACUGACGCUGAGGCACGAAAGCGUGGGGAGCGAACAGGAUUAGAUACCCUGGUAGUCCACGCUGUAAACGAUGAUUACUCGAUGUCGGCGAUAAACUGUCGGCGUCUUAGCGAAAGCGUUAAGUAAUCCACCUGGGGAGUACGCCCGCAAGGGUG
rnacentral:rRNA from 1 species